rnacentral:rRNA from 1 species
GAUGAACGCUGGCGGCGUGCCUAAUACAUGCAAGUCGAGCGAACGGACGCGAAGCUUGCUUCUCUGAUGUUAGCGGCGGACGGGUGAGUAACACGUGGAUAACCUACCUAUAAGACUGGGAUAACUUCGGGAAACCGGAGCUAAUACCGGAUAAUAUUUUGAACCGCAUGGUUCAAAAGUGACAGACGGUCUUGCUGUCACUUAUAGAUUGAUCCGCGCUGCAUUAGCUAGUUGGUAAGGUAACGGCUUACCAAGGCAACGAUGCAUAGCCGACCUGAGAGGGGGAUCGGCCACACUGGAACUGAGACACGGUCCAGACGCCUACGGGAGGCAGCAGUAGGGAAUCUUCCGCAAUGGGCGAAAGCCUGACGGAGCAACGCCGCGUGAGUGAUGAAGGUCUUCGGAUCGUAAAACUCUGUUAUUAGGGAAGAACAUAUGUGUAAGUAACUGUGCACAUCUUGACGGUACCUAAUCAGAAAGCCACGGCUAACUACGUG